rnacentral:rRNA from 1 species
UACAGAGGUCUCAAGCGUUGUUCGGAUUCACUGGGCGUAAAGGGUGCGUAGGCGGUCGGGUAAGUCUGACGUGAAAUCUUCAAGCUUAACUUGGAAACUGCGUCGGAUACUAUUCGGCUGGAGGAAUGGAGGGGAGACUGGAAUACUUGGUGUAGCAGUGAAAUGCGUAGAUAUCAAGUGGAACACCAGUGGCGAAGGCGAGUCUCUGGACAUUUCCUGACGCUGAGGCACGAAAGCCAGGGGAGCAAACGGG